rnacentral:rRNA from 1 species
GCGACCCCAGGUCAGGCGGGRCUACCCGCUGAGUU